CCCUUAGAUGUUCUGGGCCGCACGCGCGCUACACUGACGAUGGCAACGAGUUUUUCCUUCGCCGAAAGGUGUGGGUAAUCUUUUGAAACAUCGUCGUGCUGGGGAUAGAUCAUUGCAAUUUUUGAUCUUGAACGAGGAAUUCCUAGUAAGCGCGAGUCAUCAGCUCGCGUUGAUUACGUCCCUGCCCUUUGUACACACCGCCCGUCGCUACUACCGAUUGAAUGGUUUAGUGAGGGCUCCUGAUUGGCGCCGCCGCCCCGGCAACGGAGCAGCGGACUGCCGAAAAGUUGUUCAAACUUGAUCAUUUAGAGGAAGUAAAAGUCGUAACA
rnacentral:rRNA from 1 species